rnacentral:rRNA from 1 species
GCUUGCUGGAUGCUGACGAGCGGCGGACGGGUGAGUAAUGCAUAGGAAUCUGCCCGGUAGUGGGGGAUAACCUGGGGAAACCCAGGCUAAUACCGCAUACGUCCUACGGGAGAAAGGGGGCUCCGGCUCCCGCUAUGGGAUGAGCCUAUGUCGGAUUAGCUGGUUGGUGAGGUAACGGCUCACCAAGGCCACGAUCCGUAGCUGGUCUGAGAGGAUGAUCAGCCACAUCGGGACUGAGACACGGCCCGAACUCCUACGGGAGGCAGCAGUGGGGAAUAUUGGACAAUGGGGGAAACCCUGAUCCAGCCAUGCCGCGUGUGUGAAGAAGGCCCUCGGGUUGUAAAGCACUUUCAGCGAGGAAGAACGCCUAACGGUUAAUACCCGCUAGGAAAGACAUCACUCGCAGAAGAAGCACCGGCUAACUCCGUGCCAGCAGCCGCGGUAAUACGGAGGGUGCAAGCGUUAAUCGGAAUUACUGGGCGUAAAGCGCGCGUAGGUGGCUUGAUAAGCCGGUUGUGAAAGCCCCGGGGCUCAACCUGGGAACGGCAUCCGGAACUGUCAAGCUAGAGUGCA